rnacentral:lncRNA from 1 species
AUGACUAGGGAAUGAGUUGCUGGGAUGAUGUUUCAGUGUGUGUUGGAAGGAAUCCUGUCAAUGCGGGACUCUGAAAUUGAGCGAAGGCCUUACCAUAAGAACUGCAGUUGCGCUCUCCACAGGUCCGAGGGGGAUGUUUGCUCCAAUGCUUGUCAAGGGAACAUUUCCUUUCCCAAGAAACGAUCAUGGAGUGACGGUUCCUUGUGCAUGCACGCAGCGGCUUCUUCCAGAUUCUCUUCUCCUCUCGUAGACGACAUGUCCACGUCCACAGGAAACAGAGGAAGUGUGAAUGGGGUUCAUAAUUCUGCCUUGUCACA